GCUACGCGGAGACCAAGGACUCGGGCAGCUUCCUGCUCCGCAACCUCAAGGACUCGGAACGCAUGCAGCUGCUGCUGACCCUGGCCUUCAACCCUGAGCCGCUGGUGCUACAGAGUUUUCCAUCUGAUGAAGGUUGGCCAUUUGCAAAGUAUCUUGGAGCUUGUGGAAGAAUGGUGGCUGUAAAUUAUGUUGGAGAAGAACUGUGGAGUUACUUUAAUGCGCCAUGGGAAAAACGAGUUGACCUCGCUUGGCAAUUAAUGGAAAUAGCAGAACAGCUUACAAACAAUGACUUUGAAUUUGCACUCUACCUCCUGGAUGUCAGCUUUGACAAUUUUGCAGUUGGUCCUAGAGAUGGGAAGGUAAUCAUUGUGGAUGCUGAAAAUGUUUUGGUUGCUGACAAAAGGUUAAUUAGACAAAGUAAGUAUAUACUUUUUAGAUUUUUUUCUACUCAUUUUUUCCUAUGUCAAAAUAAUGUUUAUACUUGUAUGAAAUGAGCCUUGAAUUUCCUCCUUAGAUGGCAACUUUAAGCGUCUUUCUUUGCUUUAUGUAACCACUGUUAAUAAACAAAUACAGAUACUCUGACUUACUGGGGGUUACAUCUUGAUAAACCCGGUGUAAGUUGAAAAUAUUGUUAUUUGAAAUAUAUCUAACCCACGGGACAUCAUAGCUUAGUCUUGCCUACCUUUGACAUACUCAGAACACUUACAUUAGCCUAAAGUUGAGGG
rnacentral:sRNA from 1 species